GAUGAACGCUGGCGGCGUGCCUAAUACAUGCAAGUCGAACGCAUAGCGAAAGGUGCUUGCACCUUUCAAGUGAGUGGCGAACGGGUGAGUAACACGUGGACAACCUGCCUCAAGGCUGGGGAUAACAUUUGGAAACAGAUGCUAAUACCGAAUAAAACUUAGUGUCGCAUGACACAAAGUUAAAAGGCGCUUCGGCGUCACCUAGAGAUGGAUCCGCGGUGCAUUAGUUAGUUGGUGGGGUAAAGGCCUACCAAGACAAUGAUGCAUAGCCGAGUUGAGAGACUGAUCGGCCACAUUGGGACUGAGACACGGCCCAAACUCCUACGGGAGGCUGCAGUAGGGAAUCUUCCACAAUGGGCGAAAGCCUGAUGGAGCAACGCCGCGUGUGUGAUGAAGGCUUUCGGGUCGUAAAGCACUGUUGUAUGGGAAGAACAGCUAGAAUAGGAAAUGAUUUUAGUUUGACGGUACCAUACCAGAAAGGGACGGCUAAAUACGUG
rnacentral:rRNA from 1 species